UAUAUAUAUAUAUAUAUAUAUAUAUAUAUAUAUAUAUAUAUAUACGCACACACAGACAUAGGCUACACAUUUAGGCCUACAAGCCGAUUUAUGCAGGUAUUAUUUAACAUUAAUCCAUUUGAACAUUGGUACUGCGAUGAAGACUAGUUGUUAACACAUUUAAAUACAUUUAAAUGUAAUUAUUGCAAGUCCAAUUAAGGGGUGGUAAUUUAUGUAUAGAAAAUAAAGGGAAUUAUAGAAAAAAAAGUAUAACUUUUCAAAUUUUUUAUCUUUUUUGAUUUUAUUGGUUUAUAUCCAUAACUAAAUACGGCGGAUGCUACACAGAACCAAACAUUGCAAAUAUACAUGAAAUUCUAGUAAUUAAUACAUUUUCAGCAUUUAAUUAUUAUUUUAAAAAGUGCAGAUAUGCUAGGAGAGGCUAUGUAUCAUGUUGACAUAUAAUACAAUGUAGUGAGAUUUAUGUUGUUUAAAUAUUUAUAAUCUAAGGUAGGGAUUAAAUACGCGGAGACACGUUAACAAAUGACUCUAACGUUUUUAAUUCGCGUUGUUUUUAACCUACGGAUUUCAGCUCGUAUAUUCAGUGUUGCUGGAAGUAUGAACAUCUUCAGUCCAGCUAUGCAGUUUUCCCGGGGUGAUAAAUAGUGUUUGUGACAAUGAACACAAAUUCACACAGUUAGCCACAAAGUCCAAAGUCAUGCGCAAAGCACAUCAAUAUUUUACAUUGCCCAGAAUUCCCUUUCAAGAGACAAUCAAUGGCUCUUGUUCAUUACCCGGUUGUAUAUCUUCUACGGUUAGCCUUUGUCAUUAGCAAAUCAUUUUCCUAUUUUGAGUCUCACAUAACUUCAGUGGCCCAUACUUUUACAGAUGCCUCCUGGCUAUAAAUACUAAUGAAAUCUCUUUGCUUAAUUUGAUUUUGCUGGUACACUUGCAGUUAUGGCUGAACUUUCCCACGAGAGAAGCUGAUUGAACGUUUUCAAGUCCUUAUGGAGAGCAGAAAACAUUCCACUGAACCAAAGAGAUCAUUUCCAUAAUUAUCCAAUUGGCAGCCUAAUGACCUUCUAGAACAAUAAAAAGAUCUCUUGUUAAUUCCAUUUCUGUUGCUGACAUUCAGGAGAUCCCUAUCUUGCAAGUUGAGGUUCAGAAGAUAACAAGUGUACUCUCUUUUUUCUGCUCUCGUCAAAGAGCAGUCUAUUCAAUUAGGCUCAACAUAUCACUCAGCGGUAAUGAAAAGGCUCUGCUUGUGCUCUAACAUGUCUUCUCCUUCCCAAAGUCGGGUUAUUUAUAGGUUUCCGAGAUUAUAGAAAUGGAUUUUUAAGGCAAUCAAUUUUGAUGUUGCAUUUUGAAUGGUGGAAUUGAAAUGAAGUGCAGAAUAAUUAAAAAGAUCACAAGUCCCUCUUUGCAUGUAAUUAUGACCCCCCCCCCGUCCCCCCCUCCAUCGUGCUGACGGUCCGCUUUUGACAUGGGAGGAAUGACGUACAGUCCAGCGUUCACUGUCAAUCCAGAGCGAUGCGGCUGUGACGGAGCCUUCGACGGAUGCUGUCGUUUUGCGGCGACACGUGAGGACAAAGAGAGAUCCGCCUCGCCGAAAGGAGCGCGCUUACCGCUCCUUGCGUGACUUCCCGAGAGACACGUAGCGGCCGAGAUGGGAUCGCAUUGAUUUCCAAGUUUCUGGUAAUUAAAAUGUGCUUGCAAGCCCAGUCAGCCUCCCAACCACUUUGUAGUGCUGUUUACGCAUCAAAAUAAAGUAUAAACAAUCAUUUUACUCAUAAACGCUACACUUCCUAAUUAUCAUUCCAAGAUACUGGAUAACUGUGCGUUUUAUAGGUUCAUAACACGCUCUUUUCGCACUUAGGCAACGGUUUACACAUUUUUUUAAUGCUAUGAUACAUUGAUGGGAUUAAAUGCGCUUUUAUUGAGCUCAGGUGGAAUUCUGGGAUUUGUUUCAGUGCUAGAAGCUGUAGCUGCUUAGUAAAAAGAAGUAACACAAAGUAGAUGCUUGCCUGUGUUGUAGAUUUUUUUUUCAUAUUUAUCCCUAAAUGUUAGUAAUUAUUAAAUUAUACAUCAGUAAUUAUUAAAUAUAAGUAAUGCACUGGGUUAAGGGCAUGCAGAGAGUGCAAGAUUAAUGCAUUCCAUAAUAAUAUUCACCUCUGGUCAUAUUGUUUCCUUUAUCAACAGGUACAGGAAUUUUCUAAACCAAAACUCUAAGUGGAUGUUUAAGCACUUGGUGGAAAUAUGCUGUAAAUAAGUCAAAGGUGUACAUGAAUAAUGCUGGAUGAUGUCUGUUCAACUCCAUUGUAUGGGCUGCUGUUGCCAUGGUAAACCCCAAUAGGACAGUAAUCCCAAUGUCUGUGUCUGAUAUCAACUAAAUUAGACUUUACUCACAUGUGUUUAGUGUUGUAUAAGCACAUAAAUAAAUAAAAGUAAAUUUGGACAAACAUGCAUAUUUUCCUAAGUUAACCACCAGAUAGUGGUUAGGAUGGGCAAUAAGAUGGACAUUUCAAUUUUUUUGUAAGAAAUUAUGUUUAUGUAAUGGUCACUGUAGCCCUGUAGUAAGCAACUAUAGAAGAAGAAUGGAUUUAUGUAUCUCUUUAAUUUUCUUAAUGCAGUUUAAAAUAUCUUUACAAAACAUUGCUAGUAAUUGAAAAGAAAUCAUCAAAGUCAUAUGGAUUAAAAGUCCGCUGGUGAGUGGCAACAAGGGGCUAAGUGGUCAGGCACUAACUACAGGGACUGGUCGGCUGUUCAGGUUAUGAGUAUUAUUUAAACACAUAAUAAAAUCAUGGCAGGCCAGUAGCAAACCGCCUUCUUGGCUGUUCACGGGCGGCACCGUACCGCCACGGCACCAAAGGCCCCGGAAACCCGCCACCCAGAUCAUGUGAGUUAACAUGAGGCCUCAGAACAGAAAACUCAAUUAUCAUGUUAAAAUUCUGCAUGAAAACAAUCUAUACUAGAGAUUAGGAGUAUUCCUGUCAGAUGACUUACAUUGCACUAAUUGCAUUUAGAACAAGCAACCCUUUUGUGAAUGUUAUUAAAUGUUUACAAAGUGCUUAAUGCGCCGAAUGCAAUCAUAGAUCCUGUUGGUAAUUGUAGGCCAGUGGCAGCAGCCAGGUCUGGCCAGAAGACCUUCUGAAGGGGGUCAUCUACAGGAUCAAAGCCUUCUUCUUUAAAUAAACUCACACUUUCAUACA